CUUACAUAUUCACUUUAUUUUGUGCUCAGCUGGCUAAUGAUUCAGCCUCACAGCUGAAGGUAUGUUAGCUUUAACGUAAGCUCGACGCUAGCGGCGCUAACUCGGCGCUAGCUCGACGCUAGCGGCGCUAACUCGGCGCUAGCUCGACGCUAGCGGCGCUAACUCGGCGCUAGCUCGACGCUAGCGGCGCUAACUCGGCGCUAGCUCGACGCUAGCGGCGCUAACUCGACGCUAACAGCGUUAGCGUAUGCUUUAUAGUACCGCAGCGGCUUACAUAUUCACUUUAUUUUGUGCUCAGCUGGCUAAUGAUUCAGCCUCACAGCUGUAGGUAUGUUAGCUUUAACGUUAGCUCGACGCUAGCGGCGCUAACUCGGCGCUAGCUCGACGCUAGCGGCGCUAACUCGAUGCUAACAGCGUUAGCGUAUGCUUUUUCAACUCAUUAUCUCGACCACUUCAAUCAUGAAUAAAC